rnacentral:rRNA from 2 species
AGCGGCGGACCCCUGAGUAACACGUGGGUAACCUGCCCAUAAGACUGGGAUAACUCCGGGAAACCGGGGCUAAUACCGGAUAACAUUUUGAACCGCAUGGUUCGAAAUUGAAAGGCGGCUUCGGCUGUCACUUAUGGAUGGACCCGCGUCGCAUUAGCUAGUUGGUGAGGUAACGGCUCACCAAGGCAACGAUGCGUAGCCGACCUGAGAGGGUGAUCGGCCACACUGGGACUGAGACACGGCCCAGACUCCUACGGGAGGCAGCAGUAGGGAAUCUUCCGCAAUGGACGAAAGUCUGACGGAGCAACGCCGCGUGAGUGAUGAAGGCUUUCGGGUCGUAAAACUCUGUUGUUAGGGAAGAACAAGUGCUAGUUGAAUAAGCUGGCACCUUGACGGUACCUAACCAGAAAGCCACGGCUAACUACGUGCCAGCAGCCGCGGUAAUACGUAGGUGGCAAGCGUUAUCCGGAAUUAUUGGGCGUAAAGCGCGCGCAGGUGGUUUCUUAAGUCUGAUGUGAAAGCCCACGGCUCAACCGUGGAGGGUCAUUGGAAACUGGGAGACUUGAGUGCAGAA